AUUUAUUAUUGGAAGAAGCGAAGGAGCCUAAAGUAUUCAGUCGAUUUCCAGCCUUUGGCCGAAAAGAAUGUGCGUGAACAAUUGAAACAAAUGUUGCCAGAGGGAAUCAGUCACGGAGAGUAACGUACAUAUGUAAUGGAUAUAUUUGAGGCGGGUUACUGCCAGAAGCGUUGCCCUUGUUGGACGAAUUGUUACCCGUGCUAGACGUGCUGGACGUGGAGGAAGCGGGCGACGAAGCGGAAGAUGCCGUAGUCAGCGUCGAGUUUCCCUCGCCGACACCCCUCGAGCUUCCGCUCGGCGGCGAGGCAGCGGACGCGGCCACGGACGACCUUGACGAGCUACCGGGCGGCGAAGUCAGCCCCGACGCGGCCUUACUCGUCCCAGGGGCGACUUGCAAGGGCGUCGGGCUGUUUCUCGAAGUGGACGUGGUCAGAUCCUGCGGAGACGCGACGCUGGUGGACGACGUCGAGUCGGCGUAUUUACAGCUGGACGUUGACGGGGCUGACGGGGCUGACGCGCCCUGCAACAGGGGUGUCGUCGGAUCCGCGUGCAACUGUUGCUGAGGAUGAUGCUGCUGCUGGGGAUGGUGCGGCGUCUGCUGGGCGUGCAUCCCGUGUUGCUGCGACGUCGUGGUCGCGUUCAAUCGCGGUUGCGGUUGCAAUUGCGUGUAAUCUAUCAUCCCGCUCGGCGCUGUGUGCUGCAUACCCGAGGCCGGGGUGGCGUAAGGAUGCUGAGGAUAAUGCUGCUGCGGUGGCUGAUACUAUCGCUACAUUAUUUUGCGUCAACAUCACGCGUGGGUUUAUAGAGGUUGUUCAUGACGGGACUUUUCCGUCGGAGAGCCAUAUAAUCUGUGUCAUCAUCCGUUCGACAAUCACGAAUUUAAUGUAUCGGGCCGAGGCAAUUGUAAUUAUCAAGUUAAGAUUCCGGAGCAUCCGUAACCGGUUUACGCACAGUUCUGUGAACGAAUACACGUUAUGAAUUGAUAAGUAGCUCGUACAGAAAUAUAAAUUAUAUAUUUGUUCAAUCAUGAAAUCUGCAGGAUUUACAAAAAUUCGUACACAAGACAAGAAAACAUUUUUUAACAAAAAAUAUAGAUGGACAAAACAUAAAAAUGU